GAUGAACGCUGGCGGUAUGCUUAACACAUGCAAGUCGAACGGUCACUUCGGUGAUAGUGGCGGACGGGUGAGUAACGCGUGAGAAUCUGUCUUCAGGUCGGGGACAACAGUUAGAAAUGACUGCUAAUACCGGAUGUGCCUUUGGGUGAAAGAUUUAUUGCCUGAAAAAGAGCUCGCGUCAGAUUAGCUAGUAGGUGGUGUAAGAGACUACCUAGGCUCCGAUCUGUAGCUGGUCUGAGAGGACGAUCAGCCACACUGGAACUGAGACACGGUCCAGACUCCUACGGGAGGCAGCAGUGGGGAAUUUUCCGAAAUGGGCGAAAGCCUGACGGAGCAAUACCGCGUGAGGGACGAAGGCUUUUGGGUCGUAAACCUCUUUUCUCAAGGAAGAUGAUGACGGUACUUGAGGAAUAAGCAUCGGCUAACUCUGUG
rnacentral:rRNA from 1 species